rnacentral:rRNA from 1 species
GAUGAACGCUGGCGGCGUGCCUAAUACAUGCAAGUCGAGCGAACGGACGAGAAGCUUGCUUCUCUGAUGUUAGCGGCGGACGGGUGAGUAACACGUGGAUAACCUACCUAUAAGACUGGGAUAACUUCGGGAAACCGGAGCUAAUACCGGAUGAUAUUUUGAACCGCAUGGUUCAAAAGUGAAAGACGGCCUUGCUGUCACUUAUAGAUGGAUCCGCGCUGCAUUAGCUAGUUGGUAAGGUAACGGCUUACCAAGGCAACGAUGCAUAGCCGACCUGAGAGGGUGAUCGGCCACACUGGAACUGAGACACGGUCCAGACUCCUACGGGAGGCAGCAGUAGGGAAUCUUCCGCAAUGGGCGAAAGCCUGACGGAGCAACGCCGCGUGAGUGAUGAAGGUCUUCGGAUCGUAAAACUCUGUUAUUAGGGAAGAACAUAUGUGUAAGUAACUGUGCACAUCUUGACGGUACCUAAUCAGAAAGCCACGGCUAACUACGUG